UUUUUUUUUUUUUUUUUUUUUUUUUUUGUUGCCUUUC
rnacentral:ribozyme from 1 species